rnacentral:lncRNA from 1 species
AGCAACUUAGUCCUCAUCUUCAACCUUUAAGACGAGACCUAAUCCUAGCACACUACAACAAGGACCCUAGACCUAAAAAUGAAAACACAGUCGCCACCCUAGCUGAACCCUAGUAGACCAGCCGCUGCCAGCCACCCACCCUGAACCCAAAUCUCGCCGGUAAAUAUCCCUUCAGCCACAACUCCCAAAAAAGUCGAACCCCUCCACCCCCAUCGUGCUUUUUCUUCAGCAAAACAACGACCCCUCUGAUUUUGAGCGAGGAGUAGCCGUCUUCAACCUUGAAGACUACCAAAACCUAGAACCCAAAUCUCGCCGGAAACACCAGCGUCGCUGACCAGCAGACCCCAGCAGCGACUCCAUUCCAACGAC